CCCUUAGAUGUUCUGGGCCGCACGCGUGCUACACUGAGUGGAUCAGCGGGUCAGGUUGCGCGAAAGCGUUUCCUAAUCUUUAAAUCCGCUCGUGAUGGGGAUUGACGGUUGCAAUUUUCUGUCAUGAACGAGGAAUACCUUGUAAGCGCGGGUCAUCAUCCCGCGCUGAAUACGUCCCUGCCCUUUGUACACACCGCCCGUCGCUCCUACCGAUUGAGUGGUCCGGUGAGGCUUUGGGAUCUGAGCGGAAAGAGCGUUUCGCUGUUUCUGGUCGGAAAACUCAGUCGAACCUUAUCAUUUAGAGGAAGGAGAAGUCGUAACA
rnacentral:rRNA from 1 species